AUUGAACGCUGGCGGAAUGCUUUACACAUGCAAGUCGAACGGCAGCACGGGGGCAACCCUGGUGGCGAGUGGCGAACGGGUGAGUAAUACAUCGGAACGUGCCCGGUCGUGGGGGAUAACGUAGCGAAAGUUACGCUAAUACCGCAUACGAUCUGAGGAUGAAAGCGGGGGACCUUCGGGCCUCGCGCGAUCGGAGCGGCCGAUGUCAGAUUAGGUAGUUGGUGGGGUAAAGGCCUACCAAGCCGACGAUCUGUAGCUGGUCUGAGAGGACGACCAGCCACACUGGGACUGAGACACGGCCCAGACUCCUACGGGAGGCAGCAGUGGGGAAUUUUGGACAAUGGGCGCAGGCCUGAUCCAGCCAUUCCGCGUGCAGGACGAAGGCCUUCGGGUUGUAAACUGCUUUUGUAUGGAACGAAAAGGCUCUGGCUAAUACCUGGGGCUCAUGACGGUACCGUAAGAAUAAGCACCGGCUAACUACGUG
rnacentral:rRNA from 1 species